rnacentral:rRNA from 1 species
AUUGAACGCUGGCGGCAUGCCUUACACAUGCAAGUCGAACGGCAGCACGGGAGCAAUCCUGGUGGCGAGUGGCGAACGGGUGAGUAAUGUAUCGGAACGUGCCUUGUCGUGGGGGAUAACGUAGCGAAAGCUACGCUAAUACCGCAUACCAUCUAAGGAUGAAAGCGGGGGAUCGCAAGACCUCGCGCGACAAGAGUGGCCGAUAUCAGAUUAGGUUGUUGGUGGGGUAAAGGCCUACCAAGCCGACGAUCUGUAGCUGGUCUGAGAGGACGACCAGCCACACUGGGACUGAGACACGGCCCAGACUCCUACGGGAGGCAGCAGUGGGGAAUUUUGGACAAUGGGCGAAAGCCUGAUCCAGCAAUGCCGCGUGCAGGAUGAAGGCCUUCGGUGUAACUGCUUUGUUACAGAACGAAACAAGUCUCUCCUAAUACGGGGG